rnacentral:lncRNA from 1 species
UACCCAUGCUCGCCUUCAACCCUUGCACCACCUGCACCAUCACCACCCUUUCUCUUUUUUAGUUGUUGAUCAUAUGAUCCGACCUAACCGCUAGGCAGAAUCGCUCACUUUCCCCCUCUUCUCACACCAAAUCUCCGCCUCAUGUUGGCAAUCUUCCCCAAGUUUGGCCGAGAUCCAACUUCCUUGAGCUCCUCUCCCCGCCGAUUGCCUAAACCCACAACCUCCUCUCCUCGCCAAUUGCCAAAACCCACAAGCUCCCCUCUACCACUAAUCAUCAUAACUGUGACUUCAAGUGGGCCUUCUAGCUUGGAGCUCUGCCCCAAUCUCAAGCUCCCUCUGUCACCAAACACCCAAAGUGCGACCUCAUGCACCCCUUGUGACCUCUUCUGACCUAUUUGUCCACACCACCCAUCCGCCUCUACUCAGCACCUCUCCUCUUGGCCAGUUUCCCCAAAGCAAGUCCUCCUAUUCUUUCAAAAAAAACAAGUCCUCCUAAAACUUGGC